AUGACUCUCGGCAACGGAUAUCUCGGCUCUCGCAUCGAUGAAGAACGUAGCGAAAUGCGAUACUUGGUGUGAAUUGCAGAAUCCCGUGAACCAUCGAGUCUUUGAACGCAAGUUGCGCCUAAAGUCGUUAGGCCGAGGGCACGUCUGCCUGGGCGUCACG
rnacentral:rRNA from 1 species